GCAAGGAGAGACUGCUAUUUCCUAGGUGAGAGAGGUGGAAAGAGGAAGAAGCAAUAUUCCCAGAGGCAGGCAGGCUGAAGAUCUGUGGGUGAUGGUUAGAGAAACGAAUACUUCACUAAGGUUUGAAACAGAAAUAUAUAUAAAUAUAUAUAUUUAUAUAUAUUUUUCAUAGGAAGUGAUCCAGAGGAUCGGGAGAAUCUGGUAGAAGGAAAGUAGGACAUGAAUGCCACAUGCCAACAGACCUGGCUUUGAGUCCCAUUUCUGACCCUGACUUUCUGCAUGACCUUGGGCAAAUUACUUCAAUUCUCUGUAUCUCAGGAACCUCCUGGAUGAGAAGAAAUCAUAAAACCCAAUUCACAGAACUGUCGGGAAAGGCAAAUGUUCGGAUGUGUAGCUCCCGGCACAUAGUCGGCACUCAGGAAACCCAUGUUUCUGUGCCAGCAAGUAUGGUUAAUCCUCAUGUUUACAAGAUGACUGCUGCUACUCAGGCAUAGUAUCUGUAUUCCAGACAGAAAGAAAGGAGAAGGAGAAUUAAGAAGCCAUCGAGCUACAUGAGGACACCGAGUGCCAAGGGGGUAUGAGCAGGUCCCUGACAUCAUCUGCUGCUCUCUGGAGGAAGAGGGUGUGAAGGAAGUGAAGAUUAUAUAUUGUAAUUAGGAUUCUUCUGGUUGCCAGUGACAAAAUCCCCUAUCAACAUAGCUUCAACCAAAAAAAAAAAAAAGAUAAUAAAAAUAA